rnacentral:ncRNA from 1 species
CAUCGCACACACGGGGGCUCGCACCAGCGGGCUGAGAGGACGGCUAGGGCCGUCGACCGUCGAACCUGUCCGGGUAAUGCCGGCGUAGGGAGCACUUCAUGAGCACAG